AGUGAACGCUGGCGGUAGGCCUAACACAUGCAAGUCGAACGGCAGCACAGUAAGAGCUUGCUCUUACGGGUGGCGAGUGGCGGACGGGUGAGGAAUACAUCGGAAUCUACUUUUUCGUGGGGGAUAACGUAGGAAAACUUACGCUAAUACCGCAUACGACCUACGGGUGAAAGCAGGGGAUCUUCGGACCUUGCGCGAUUGAAUGAGCCGAUGUCGGAUUAGCUAGUUGGCGGGGUAAAGGCCCACCAAGGCGACGAUCCGUAGCUGGUCUGAGAGGAUGAUCAGCCGCACUGGAACUGAGACACGGUCCAGACUCCUACGGGAGGCAGCAGUGGGGAAUAUUGGACAAUGGGCGCAAGCCUGAUCCAGCCAUACCGCGUGGGUGAAGAAGGCCUUCGGGUUGUAAAGCCCUUUUGUUGGGAAAGAAAAGCAGCAGGUUAAUACCCCGCUGUUCUGACGGUACCCAAAGAAUAAGCACCGGCUAACUUCGUG
rnacentral:rRNA from 1 species